CUGAUGGUGGGUGGUGUUAAGGCCCUGGACUCCUCUCUGGCUGCUCCUCCUGGAGGAGAUGCUGUGUGCUGAGCUUCAAGGUCAUGUAGAAAAAGCAGUGAAAGAGAGAGUCCAACAUGGGCCAUUGUCAUUCCUGUUGGCCAGAAAGUGUUUGAGGAUCACGAGCUCCAGAAGGGGAUCAAUCCUCUAGACCACGGGUUGAGAAUCAAAUUGCCUGUGUGCCCUGAAGUCUGAGAAUCAAAUGAAGAAGUUUACCACGUGGAGACUUCAAAUUUUACUUGAACUAAGUCUAAAAAAUGACCAGAGAACUUUUUACUGUGAUUUUUGCCAUAUGGAUCACAGAAGAUCCCUGAAUAGGCGCUACCUGGAGCCUUCCCACUGUUGAGCAGAAGAAUUACUUUGUUUCUUCACUCUAUGUUUUGGGUAUCCAUGCUUAAUGCAUCUGAGCGUGGCAUUAAAUAUUAUUUACAGCCAAAAAU
rnacentral:lncRNA from 1 species